rnacentral:lncRNA from 1 species
CAGAAAAUGAAGAAAAAAAUAAAAUCGUCUCCUCAAACCCAGCCCCAAAUGACCCCACCCCAACCAAAACUGACCACCACCGCUACAGCAAUCAUUACCACCGCCAUCGGCGCCACCACUUCUCCCUCCAUCACCUCCCCAACCAAAGUUGAAAAUUAAGACUUUCUGUAUGCUUGUUGAUGGGUGCAAUUAAACCCUAGCCCAUUAAAACUUCAAAAGCAACAAAUAUGUUCCCCCCUUGUGGAUUUAGGAAUUCUAUUCCUUCUGAAAUCCGUUCGCUGAGCUGUUGCCAAAUUCUUGAUGGGUUUUCGUGGUUUGCAAUCCAAAAAUAUGUUCCCCCCUUGUGGAUUUAGGAAUUCUAUUCCUUCUGAAAUCCGUUCGCUGAGCUGUUGCCAAAUUCUUGAUGGGUUUUCGUGGUUUGCAAUCCAAACAUAUGUGGAAGUUAGGAUUGAAGUAUACCAAAUACUCAAGCACCAUCAUCUAAUAUUAUGACCUCAGGUGAAAAAUCUCAAUUUCUUUCUUCACUAAAACUUGGUGUGUUUCCACUAAAAAUCACCUUAGAUCUUUGUAAAGAUUCAAACUUUAUGCUCUUUCCUGUGGAUUCUGCAAACCCUUCAAAUUCUUGGAAAUAUGAGUUGAAUUUGGACUUGAAAAUUAUGGGUUUUAUUAGUAUUUUUUGAAGCUAAUAAAAGGAGGAA